GUUUGACCUCAAAUCAGGUAAGAAUACCCGCUGAACUUAAGCAUAUCAAUAAGCGGAGGAAAAGAAACCAACAGGGAUUGCCUUAGUAGCGGCGAGUGAAGCGGCAAUAGCUCAAAUUUGAAAUCUGGCGUCUUCGGCGUCCGAGUUGUAAUUUGAAGAAGGUAUCUUUGGUCUUGGCUCUUGUCUAUGUUCCUUGGAACAGGACGUCACAGAGGGUGAGAAUCCCGUGCGAUGAGAUGCCCAAUUCCAUGUAAAGUUCCUUCGACGAGUCGAGUUGUUUGGGAAUGCAGCUCUAAGUGGGUGGUAAAUUCCAUCUAAAGCUAAAUAUUGGCGAGAGACCGAUAGCGAACAAGUACUGUGAAGGAAAGAUGAAAAGAACUUUGAAAAGAGAGUGAAAAAGUACGUGAAAUUGUUGAAAGGGAAGGGCUUGAGGUCAGACUUGGUUUUACCAGGCCAGCAUCAGUUUGGGUGGCAGGAUAAGUGCGUAGGAAAGUGGCUCCACUUCGGUGGUGUGUUAUAGCCUGCGUCGAUACUGCCUGCCCAGACUGAGGACUGCGUCUUUGACUAGGAUGCUGGCAUAAUGACCUUAAGCCGCCCGUCUUGAAACACGGACCAAGGAGUCUAACGUCUAUGCGAGUGUUUGGGUGUAAAACCCGUACGCGUAAUGAAAGUGAACGUAGGUGAGAGCCCUUAAGGGUGCAUCAUCGACCGAUCCUGAUGUCUUCGGAUGGAUUUGAGUAAGAGCAUAGCUGUUGGGACCCGAAAGAUGGUGAACUAUGCCUGAAUAGGGUGAAGCCAGAGGAAACUCUGGU
rnacentral:rRNA from 1 species